GAUGAACGCUAGCGGCAGGCCUAAUACAUGCAAGUCGAACGGAUAUAUGUUUUUCGGAAUAUAUAUUAGUGGCGCACGGGUGAGUAACACGUACAUAACUUGCCCUCAAGCGGGGGAUAGCCUUGGGAAACUGAGAGUAAUACCCCAUAGAAUUAUUGGACGGCAUCGUUUGAUAAUUAAAACUACGGUGCUUGGGGAUAGAUGUGCGUCUGAUUAGCUAGUUGGUGAGGUAACUGCUCACCAAGGCGACGAUCAGUAGGGGGCGUGAGAGCGUGGCCCCCCACACGGGUACUGAGACACGGACCCGACUCCUACGGGAGGCAGCAGUAAGGAAUAUUGGUCAAUGGAGGGAACUCUGAACCAGCCAUGCCGCGUGAGUGAUGAAGGCCUUAGGGUUGUAAAGCUCUUUUACCAGGGAUGAUAAUGACAGUACCUGGAGAAUAAGCUCCGGCUAACUCCGUGCCAGCAGCCGCGGUAAAGUAGUCGUG
rnacentral:rRNA from 1 species